rnacentral:lncRNA from 1 species
GUCCAUUUUCCAUGUUAUUUUGUCAAUAUUCCAUUCCAUCCAUUUACCAAACACUUCAGUUGUAUAUCUCAGGUAUUGUGAAUAUGCUAGGGCUGCAGAUAUUUCGUCGAGAUAGUGUUUCCUUUGGAUAUAUACCCUGCUUCAGAGUUUAGCUCAGCUACUCCAUGGUGUUGCUGCCUCAGCAUCCGUUUUGUUUGGCCCAGCAGCCUGUGGGGACCGUCAACUGACAAUAGUCCCUCUUGUAAGCACCUGCCCUAGAUAGCAGCUGGCAGAGUCACAAUCAAAUCCUUUCUACUAUCCUAAGGACUAAUAGCCUCGCGGUCUAACAUCUUCAGUGAUUCAAGAUCCUCUGAGAGAGCCAUAGAUGGGUCUUUGGCAGCUUCUCUUUGGCAUAUCCAAAUUGCCGGCAUCACUACCCUUGUGCUUUGGGGCCAUUAUUAAGCAAAAUAAGGAUUACUUAAACACAAGUACUGUGAUAUCACGACUGUUGAUCUAACCCAGACAACUACUAAGUGACUAACGCAUACAGCGUGGAUACACUGGACAAAGGGAUGAUUCACAUCCCAGGUGAGAUGGAGUGGGACAGAGAGAGAUUUCAUCAUCCUACUCAGAAGGGCUCAAUUUAAAACUUAUGAAUUGUUGAUUUCUGGAAUUUUCCAUUUAAUAUUUUCGGACCACGAUUGACUGUGGAUAGCUGAAACCAUGGAAAGUGAAACCGUGGAUAAGGGGGGACUACUGUACUUUGUGUAUAUACACUAAACUUUUAGUCAACAAAGGAUGUCAUUCAAAAAUUUAUACCUAAUUUCGAUGCAGCUGAGUAACACAUAGCUGAUACUAUACUAAAGUCAAUAAAAAUAUCAAUUAUAAUUCCCACAUAAUUAGUAGGUUAUCUGAAGAUAAGUUUACUAGGGAGGUAAAUAAGAAUUAAUCAAAUCUUGGAAAAUAAAAGAAAAACCA